AUACCUUCCUUUGUGUUCAACAGAACAAAGAAAUUCAUACAGAUUUAGAACAACUUGAGGGAAUCUCAUUGCUCUGUACAUCACAUCAAGUGAUCUGAAUGUACUUCUGGCUAACCUGAAGUAAUGACUGGCGGCAGCAAGAACCACGCGAUGGCACUGGAAGCUCUGGCCCUGAACAUGGAGACUGACGUCUGUUAAACUGUCCUCCAGCCGAAGACUGUGCAGUCCUUCCUGCAGAUAACCAGCAAACACAGAGUCUUCAAACAUAACCUGGCCAUCUUCCCGGUUCUCUUGCAUCGAGCUCUCCAGCAUGCUCAGACCCCCUGCUGGAGCUUCUUUCGCGGCAGAUGAUGAAGGGCAUUCGGAGUUAUUCUCCAGAGUGUCAGCCAUGAUCUGGAGACCCAGGUGCAGAACUUACAGAUUUCGACGCUGAAUAAAGUUUAACACCAUGUGAUUACUAGACAUCGGCGAAACAAUUGUUCUUUCCUAACACGCAAGCUUCCUGUUUUUAAAACGGCCUACAAAGAGGAAGUGCUGAAAACUUCAAAUUCAGCUCAGCAACUACACAAGUUACUUAGAUUAUGGCUGAUUAUGGUAUCUAAAACUUGUGCAUUUAAACUAACUGUUUAAGUGAAAUCAAGGGCAAAUAUAUAAUUUAACAUGCUCAGGCUAUAAAACAGAUCUCAUUAAAAACCUAAAUCUCUUAAUUAUACCUUCUUAGAAAACCUAAAAAGGAUAUUACACAACUAUCUCUUUAAAGGGUUAGUUCACCCAAAAAUGAAAAUGAUGGACAGUAUACUGCACAUACAUUUUCAAUGGAGGGACUGAAAGCUCUCGGACUAAAUCUAAAAUAUCUUAAACUGUGUUCCGAAGAUGAACUGAGGUCUUUCGGGUUUGGAACGACAUGAGGGUGAGUCAUUAAUGACAUAAUUUUCAUUUUUGGGUGAACUAACCCUUUAAGGAGUCAUAACAGAAUGAUGCAAGUUCUAGAAAUGUACCAGUCAACGUUAGAGGUUCAACCAUCUUUGCUCCAGGUCUGUUUUAAUAAUAAUAACUUACAAAGAAUAUGUUUUAAGAUGGUUUCAUCAUUAACAAAACAUUGUAUCUCAUAGAAAACAAGCAGAAAACAGACAGAAAGUGUAUUUUACUCAAUUGGAAUGUCUGAAAAUGUCUCUCAUUGAAAUGUUUUGUUAAAAAACAAGUUAGAUUUAACAUGCAAAAGAAUGUAGCAAAUUAUUCAUUUCUAUGACAACCACUUUAAAUUCUGGUAUUCCGUCAGAUUGUUAGUUAAAAUAUAAAAUACUGUUUACAUACACAUAAAUAUAAAACAGCUAGUCAAAAAUGUCCUGAUUCUUGUUCUUUUCCCCAUUUCAGUAUGCUAAUCAAAAUACAUAAUAUACAAAACGCUUUAAUAAACUUUAGGUUUUGCAAUAAAAAUUUAAAAACAGAAACGGUUCAUUUAAUUUCAUACAGCAAAAUUGUUCUAUUUUGUUGAGACAAGUGAAGGCAAAAUAGGUAGUAGGCACAAGUGACAAGGUCAAUAUGAGAGGAUGGGACAAUUCAAGUAUCACAAUACUUCUCUGGAACAUUAAAAAAUAGGGAGGGGGAAAAAGUACUUUGUUAGGCCAGAGCUCAACAAUACUUGAAACUAAUAAAAUACAAGAUAAAUUUAGACAGAAAAGCAUGAAAUGUUCAGGUACACAAUGGGUCACAAAAUUGAGAGACAUCAGUAGAAAACAAGAGAGGUCUACAGUCAGUGGCUCCUCUGGUUUUGUAGCCCCUUCAGGCACAUUAAAGGAGAGUUUGGUGUGAGGAGGCAAGACAUGGUGAUUGUGCAAGUUAGUCGCCCAGGUGGAGAUGACUAAGGUCUUCGGGGCUGAAUAGCAAAGGCCCUUCACGGGACUAGAAGGUGACUCUGCCGGAGUGAUGGAAGUUCUCACAGGAACCGGUCGUGGGAAGGAAUUUGGGCAUUGGCACAUAGUGACAAAGGGCUAGCGGUUACUCUUCAUUGCCUCCUUGGCAGCAAGUAUAAGAGGAGUGAGGCUGGAAAGAGGCUUCGCCAGCUUCAGGAAAGGAUGCUGCAAGAGACGAAAGGACAUUAGUACAUUUUCUAGAAGAUCAACAUCACUUCUCUAACACCUCCAUAGUCUAAUGCAGGGGUUCCCAAACUCUUUGUCAGCUGAUGUUCCCCUUGAUAAUUUGAGUUAAUACAGGGUUCCCACGCCUUGAUUAACUUCAAAUUCAAAGACCUUUCAAGGACUUUCCAGGUCCAAUACCCUCAAAUUCAAGGACUUAAUGUGGGGACACAUUUCAAGUGAGAGCAUGGUUACCUUGUAAGAUACAUUGUUACAGAUUUCAUGUGUCAAACACAACUAUGCAUUUAUUUUUGGCCAAAUGACAGAGAUAUGAUAUUCUAUUUGUUGUAUUUCUGCUUUGCAUAAAACUGAGGAAGUUUUGUAGUAGUUUUGUGCGUGCAGGAGCAUCAUGGCAAUGUACAACACAAAGUACCUCACGUGGGAAACACUUGACGCGUAACUAAUGUAACUCAAGCAAGCUAGAAUGCAUAGGCCACGAAGUGUUGGCGAAAUAACACAUUAGCGGACUGGAGGGAAUAAUAUGGAAUUUUUCCAGAAAACGUCUUGCACAAAAUAAAUUCAAGCACUUUCAA